ensembl:lncRNA
AGAACAACUAAAAACAGAUACUCAAACAUUCUUGUAUAUGAAUGAAGAUCCUGUUUUGAAUGGACACCUUUGAAGCCUCUAGAUAAUUCACCUUAAAAAGCCAAUUUUACACAGCUGCUUUCUUCUGGAAAUCAUGCCUCAUUUGAAGCCUUUUGUCUCCCAGCUCCAGUUCCUUAUCCUUCUAAUCUGAGUACAACAGUGUCUUAUCAGAAAGAGCUCCAGGAAGAGCUUGCUUCAAGAGAGAGGAUGCGGACAGAACCUUAAAUGUCAGGUGAGAACUAGCUCAUGCUGGCUGCAUGGAUAGCAGCCUGCAAUAAGACAAAAGGCCUUGCAGGUGAGGAAAUGCCAUGGACUUUAUAGGACUUUAUAGUUCAGCUUUGUAGACCAGAGUUGAAGUUUUUCUUCUUCCUAGAGCACACAGUUAAAGGUCUUAUUUGUUUGUUUAAGUACUAGAUCAUGAAUGAAAGUUUAAAUCAUUGUUGCCAUGUCUUUGUGCUACAAUCAUAAUGGCACUGCUCCCCUCUGGCCACCUUUGUUUAUUUAUUUUAAAAAUUUAUAUAUAUACUCUUUUUCAGAUGCUUUUUCUUUAUAGGUUAUUGUAAGGUACUGAGUAUUGUUGAACUGUAGUGUUGGAGGAGAAUCUUGAGAGUCCCUUGGACUGCAAGGAAGAUUCAACCAGUCCAUCCUAAAAGAGAUCAGUCCUGGGUGUUCACUGAAAGGACUAAUGUUGAAACUGAAACUCCAAUACUUUGGCCACCUGAUGUGAAGAGCUGACUCAUUGGAAAAGACCCUGAUGCUGGGAAAGAUUGAAGGCAGGAGGAGAAGGGGACGACAGAGGAUGAGAUGGUUGGAUGGCAUCACCGACUUGAUGGACAUGGGUUUGGGUGGACCCUGGGAGUUUGUGAUGGACAGGGCAGCCUGGUGUGCUGUGGUUCAUGAGGUCACAAAGAGUCAGACACAACUGAGCGACUGAACUGAACUAAACUGAAUAUUGAUCUCUGUGCUAUACAGUAGGUCCUUGUUGUUGUUUUCUUUUAAAUCUAUUUUAUAUAUAAUGGUAUUCUGUUCAUCCCAAGCUUUUAUUUUAUCCUUUCUUACCCUUUGCCCCUUUG